GCAGAGGGACACUAAAGUGUUCUUUUAAGGCCUGCCAUCAUACAUAUUGAGGCCCUUUACAAAGCUCAAGGCCUGGGCUCCCAGGGCCAACCCUAGAAUCUACCCAAAAUACCCAUCCCUGAUUACACACACUUGUGUUGUGUGCUUCUAUGUGUGUCUGUAAAUUUACAUACUUAAAUAGGCUGAGAAGAGACGUGUCUAUGAAAUUCAGUCUUUUUAGGCAUGCAUUAUGUAUUUCUCCAUGUGUUUGAAUUUUUAUGGAAGCAUUGUGUGUGUAGGGAUUCAUUAUGUGUUUCAAUCAAACCUCUAGAAAACCUACAAACCUCAACUACGCCAAACUUUAUGCAUCACUUUCACUGUAGACAAGUCACACAGUUACUCACUUCCAUCCCUCAAAAAUAUUUAACAAGGAAGAGCACAGACUUUGAAAUGGUCUGCAUAGAUCAGGACCCACUGGAGAAGGGUAUCUUGUUGUUAUACAAAAUGCUUAUGAAACUGAGAAGGAUGCCACCCCUGAGCUUCAUGGGGAAAUGGUAAGUCGCCUUAAGGAUAUCACUCAUACCCACACAAUGGUCGAAAAUUUGUAAUCUAACCCUCCAUUGCGCGGUUUAAAGCGGAAAACAAAAAAAACUGCAUAUAAGUUGCAGGCCUACUGUUACAUAAUCCCCUCAGUUCUUUUACGCCAAGCAUGUCAAAACUCCUGGCAUGCGGCCCACAAUGAACAUCUUUGCGGCCCGGCGAGCUGUGAGUACAUGCUUGGUGUUAAAGCAGAGUAGGCACCUGCUUUCUCCACAUUGCAAGUGCCUACUCUGCUAAAAUGUACCCGACCGGAGAGGAAGCAGGACGCUGGCGGCAGCGAGGGAGCUCAGUCUUCCUGCUCCCUCGCGCGCCGUCUGUAGUGAUGCCGGGUGUCGGUAUAUGAUGUCAUAUUCCGGCAUCACAAACUGCGUGCGAGGGAGCAGUGAUCCCCACUGGACUCCCAGGAAUGAUGUGAGUGUGUGCAAGAAUGUGUAAAUGUGUGUCUGUCAGUGAGUGUGUGUGUGUCGGUCAGUGUUGUGAUGGCCGCGGAUGGACAGUGGAGUACCUGGAGAUGCAUGGAGGCAUGCAACGCCACGUCACAUUCCGAAGUGAUGUCAAAGUGCUCCACCUUCACAAGGUUUCAAGAAGUAGCAGGAGGAUCCGCUUUGGCACAGGGUGCGGACGGCGCUAUUUGUGGUAUAGCAGAGGCCAGAGUCGCAUACUGGCAGCGGCAAUGUGAGUGGAGUCUGCUUGUUGGCUAGAGGGGGGUGCUGGGAUUUAGUGGGGGGAGGGAUCGGAUUUAGUAUAUGAGGAGGACUGGGAUAUAGUAUAUGGGGGGGGACUGUAGUUUAGUAGAGGGGGAUGCUGUUUUUUUUAUAUAUAUAUACUGUACGUUUCAAAAUAAACCUACGUAGACGGGGAACUGGUUCAUUGAUCCACAUCUGGUGGGAUUGCCCUUGAUUCGACUAAUAGGCCACUAUCCACAAAAUUAUACAGAAAUUUUCAGAUAACCCCACCCACCCCUGAAACCAGCACUGUUCUUCUUACACCACACUAAAUCCCAAUCUUCGAUCUAGAAAAAAAUUCUCACUGAUUCCCCAGUGCUGGAGGCAGAAGGUUCCUCCUCCUGAGGCCCUAUGGUUUAAACGCAUGAAGAAGCUCUGUUUUCUUAGCGGAGCUCACCAUGCUCACAAAACGCAAAUGUAUAUGACAAUCUGGACUCCUUGGAUCUUAUCAGCAGAUUCAGCCUAUGUCUGGACCCUACUCUAAUGGAAAGCAGAGCUGUGGAGACAUAGGGGGAACACAAAUAGUCAUUGUGGCAAAACCAACCUCGCCACGAAGCAUUGGAGAAGCCUGGUUGCUCGCCUGUAUCCCCUGGAUUAUGGCCCCAUGUUAAAAAGCCUUCUUUUCCCUUGCAGAAAAGGCUUGUUCGUGCCUUUCUGCCCAGCGUUCAGUAGAUUCAAUCUACCGAACAAACAACCCAAUGACUGGACCACCUGUAUUGGGCGUGUGUCGGCAAUUUACCUCCCAGAAGCUGCGGUUAACCGCAGCUUAAUUGACGAAUGCUGGGUGGCCUUUGUUCGUUUGCCGAACACGUGGCGGCGGCCAUUUUAAAGUCCCGAACGGCCAGCGGUGUUCAGCGCCCAAACUAUGGAACUGGAAACGGACACUUAUUUGCGCGAACACCGCUGAGCCGUCAGCUUCCUUGCAUCUGCAUUCCGUCAUUUAACCGGAUGCCUGUUCAUUCGGUAGUUUAACCAUAUGAACAGCAUUACCCCAGAUAGCCAUGCCAUGGAGCCUAUUCGUGUAACGAAAGACUACGGGAAAGACUUUGGCUCCGUGGCGAUUGAACUGUACGUAUGUGAUCUGAGCACCAUCCGGUAAUAAUGUGCGCUCAGAUCUAAGCUAUCUGGGGAUAUGUAGAAUGUAUAUGUUUUGUGCAACAGUUGUAACUUUAUACAUUUUUACUGUCUUUUACUGCCAUGUGGUUAAUGGAGUUUUGCCUCUGUCCUGGGAGAUAAUUGGAUUACUUCCCAAUUAUCUCCAGGACAGAGGGAGGGAAAUUAGGAUGCAUUGUGGGAAUGUUUUACUUCUGUGUGUCUGUCAUUGGUUCAUGUCUGUCCUUUGUCACAGUCUUCCAUUUGGUCCCCUAGGGGAGUGUCCACCAGCUGGGAGACCUGCAUAAAUACUGGGCAGGUAGCCCUCAAUAAACCAGACCACUGAUUGAC